GGGGCUGACCGGUUUCGAUCGGGCCCAGGACAGCAGUUCAGGUCGAGCCCGGGCAGGUGACGUCACCCGGUCAACAUGUCGUCACGCCAAGAAGCGCCAAGCGCGACUUCGCCCUCACCGCCUAGCGGUGACGUCCACGGCCGGGCGGUCCUGCCCCGAGCCGCACGGGCGCCGCAAGCAGGACUCGCCCCUCCGGCUGCCUCACGUGCGGGCUGGCGGGGGACACCCCCACGUGAGAACCAGGCGCCGCACUCCGACCCCCUCGGCGGCGCCGCGAACCCCGGGGUCGGUGACGCUCGUGAGGAUCCCUUUCUGCUUCCCUGACCGAGACGCGGGUUCGACUCCCGCCAGCUCCACC
rnacentral:tmRNA from 1 species